rnacentral:lncRNA from 1 species
UUGGAAGUGGCUUUGGGUGUAGAUUUAAUUUUUUUAUUGUAUCGUCUUGUAAACUAUUAAAUAACCUAACAAGGAGUAUGAUUUAACCCUUUUGUGUGCUGCAGACAGCAGAGCCUUCCCAAAUCUGUAUGUGGCGACGGGCAGUACAGUCUACCUGACUAUGGACAAUGGUACCCAAUUAAACUUCCAUGAAUUCGACUGGUAUAUGAAAACUUUCAGAGUGGCCAAGUUGAGAAAUUCUACUGUUCACUAUUAUGGAAGGCAAGGUGAAAUCUUUUUGAAUGGGACUCUCAGACUGGACAAUGUUCGCAAAAAUGAUACUGGAGAGAUUACAGCUAAAUUGUUUGACAAAAAUGGAAAAAAUAUCCUCCAAAUCAAAUAUCAUCUCAUUGUUACAGAUCCAGUGUCUCAGCCUAUCAUAGAAUAUACCUGUUCACAAGGACAAUCGGAGUUUCACUGCUCUGUAGAGAGUGACAAUCCCUUGUAUUCAUGGAGUUUUAAUAACAAGCCAUUGCUUGGUGUUGGCAUUUUUCAUAAUGUUGAAAACCAUAAACUCAGUUUAAGGAAUUCUUCUGGCAGAGUCACUUGCACUGUUUCAAAUAAUGUCACCCAAAAUAAGAGUGAAACCCUUGUUUUUUCUUGUACAGGUAAGCCACUUUCCACAUUCAGAUUUUUUAGUUAAAUAGAAUAAUCACGUUGAACAUAUCAGUAUAUGUGUAAUUUAGAAAAGAGUAAAUUUGUCCUAAAUAAAUAACUACUAAGAUGUGUUCACAUUCUGUUGCCAUGUCAACACUGCAGCAGAUAUUUUAUUAACUUGGUUUUGUAAAGCCUGUGGUUUAAAUAGAGUUACUUUGGAUAGUAUUUUUUUUCUUCUGUUCAUCUGUUUUAAUACAUUUGAAUUAAUUCUUAAUCAUAUUUAAUCUUAAUCAUGUUUAAUUUUAAACAUGUGAAGAUUCAAUGCAGGUGACCGGAAGUGGCUGGUGUAUUGGAAUUAAAUUUUCAGCCAUUAUGCUUAUUUGCAUGAUAGCAUCUGCAUUUCACAUCUAUACUCGAAAACAGAAUAAGCAGAAUAUUUGAAGUAAGUAUUAUAUUUUUCUGAAAAAAUCGUAACUCCUUCAGUUCUGUCCUUUGUUUCCAGUAUUUUCAUCCAAAAUUGUUGUAUUGUUCUUGUUCAAAAUGUUAUAUUUAGAUUGUAUUCUAUUAUUAUGAGUCUGUGACAGAUAUUUAAUUUGAAAAUGUGAGUUGAACAAAUACAAUCCUUUCAAAAAGAUAAAAAAGACUUCAUUGAAGCGCUAUUUCAUUAACUUUAUUCUGAGGGGAAAAGUUAACAGAGUCUACCUGUAACACAUGUAGAAGCUGGUUGAUUUAUUACAUACAGUAAUUUAUAUCACAAGCAAGGAUUAAGUGCAAUUUCACCUUUUUGUAAGAAGUAUAUCCUCAAAUGCAUCUUUAAAAAAUAAACAUGUCACAAAUAAAACAAUUUAGCCGAUUUUGCAUUUCUGGUAACACAAAUAUAUACUUAUAUAUAAUAUAUACUUUUCCAUAAAAGUUGUCAUAUUUAUUUCUGAUGUUUUAAAGUUUGAAAAAAAAAACUUUCACAUUUUCAUUGCUAUAUGUUUGUGCAUUGACUGUUUAAUUAUGUUUUAUUAAAAGUAAAUAUUUUGCAUAUGGCUGACCACAACAUCAUCAGUUUUAUUUUACAAUGUUAAAAAAAUGUUGUUCUAGGUCCAACUACAGUGACAUUGCCAGGAUAAGAAAACUCCAUUUCAGGAUGAUGUAAUGUGCUUUGGGUUUUUUAAUAGUUUUGUCAACCUUGUACAUAUUAUGGACAUAUCUGUGGUUAUGAAAUAAAACAAGCCUUUAAAUAAUAUAAUGUUGCCUUAUGUGAAAAUGAAAACACUCUUCGAUUUCUGAAACAGACUGGAGUUUUACUUAAAAGGAAAAUUAUAUCUUUUCUGUGUCUGGGAUGUAGUAAACAAUGAAGAAUAUGCACUUACUGUACAUGCCAAAAAUAUAUAGUGUAUGUUAACAAAAAGUUACUUGAGUCAAAACCUACUGUAAGUGAACUUAUAUCUCAAUAUCUCAAUAUCUCACCCAGUGUGGGUGUUUGCUGCAACUUCAACCAUGGACAAAACCAAUGUUUCCCAUUGGAACAUUUUGCCUUUUUUCUUGUGGAUAUUUGCUUUAUGA